GCCCCGGCACCCGAGCGGAAAGGGGAGCGAGCUUGCAACUCGCUGUAUGGGAGUUCGAUUCUCCCCCGGGGCUCCA
rnacentral:tRNA from 1 species